rnacentral:rRNA from 1 species
GCAGUCGAGCGGGGGAGGUAGCUUGCUACUAGACCUAGCGGCGGACGGGUGAGUAAUGCUUAGGAAUCUGCCUAUUAGUGGGGGACAACAUCUCGAAAGGGAUGCUAAUACCGCAUACGUCCUACGGGAGAAAGCAGGGGAUCUUCGGACCUUGCGCUAAUAGAUGAGCCUAAGUCGGAUUAGCUAGUUGGUGGGGUAAAGGCCUACCAAGGCGACGAUCUGUAGCGGGUCUGAGAGGAUGAUCCGCCACACUGGGACUGAGACACGGCCCAGACUCCUACGGGAGGCAGCAGUGGGGAAUAUUGGACAAUGGGGGGAACCCUGAUCCAGCCAUGCCGCGUGUGUGAAGAAGGCCUUAUGGUUGUAAAGCACUUUAAGCGAGGAGGAGGCUACUUUAGUUAAUACCUAGAGAUAGUGGACGUUACUCGCAGAAUAAGCACCGGCUAACUCUGUGCCAGCAGCCGCGGUAAUACAGAGGGUGCGAGCGUUAAUCGGAUUUACUGGGCGUAAAGCGUGCGUAGGCGGCUUAUUAAGUCGGAUGUGAAAUCCCCGAGCUUAACUUGGGAAUUGCAUUCGAUACUGGUGAGCUAGAGUA